rnacentral:rRNA from 1 species
ACGGCUAAAAACCGUUGCUAUUGUUCUUGCAACGGUUUAAAACCGUGGCUAAAUGCUGAAAAUCACCACCCCUCCUCAAGCAUAAAACUGUUGCUAAAAUGUUUAGCAACGGUUUAUAGCCUUUAAAAGGAAUUUCGCGACGCCUCUGUAGCCCACGGCUCUUAGCCGUGACAAUGGGUUACCCCCACGGUUUAAAACCGUUGCUAAUGGGGAUUUUUGGUGUAGUGCUAGCUCAACUGUUCGAUGACACUUACCAGUAUUGGUCUUGCAUGCUGUCUAAGCUGAGGAAGUUGAGGACUAGUGGCGACCAAUAUUGAUUGUACGAUGAUGCUUGUCGAUCAUGCAUGUUGGCUAGUUGAGGCAAGUUUAAAACUCUAUUGUUUGAUGAUGCUCACAAGUUUUUCGACUUGCAAAAGCAAAUAAAGAGUACGCUAGUUUCAAAUGGACAGGAGCCUGGUCGGGAUUCAACAUACUAUUGUAAGCCCCAACACUUGAGGUGCUUACUUCUAUCCCUUUGGUUUUUUAACUGAUGGGGUCCCUUUCCGACCCAUCUUGAAACACGGACCAAGGAGUAUGACAUGUGUGUGAGUAAAUGAGUACGUAAACUCGUAAGGCGCAAGGAAGCUGAUUGGUGGGAUCCCCUUGUGGGUUGCACCGCCGAUCGACCUAGAGCUUUUAAGAAGGGUUCGAGUUUGAGGAAACCUGUCGAGACCCGAAAAAUGGUGAACUAUGCAUGAGCGGUUCAAAGCCAGAGGAAACUUUGUUGGAUGCCUGCAUCAAUAUUGACGUGCAAAUCAUUCAUCUCAUUUGGGUAUAGGAACAAAAAUACUAAUCGAACCAUCUACUAGUUUGUUUCCUCCGAAGUUUCCCUCAGGAUAGCUGGAUCUCAAACGCGAGUUCUAUCGGGUAAAGCCAAUGAUUAGAGGCAUCUGGGGUGCAGCGCCCUUGACCUAUUCUCAAAUUUUAAUAGGUAGGACGGUGUGACUACUUUAUUGAGCCGUACCAUGGAAUUGAGAGCUCUAUGUGGGCCAUUUUUUGUAAGUUGUACUGGCGAUGUGGAUGAACUGAAAGUCGGGUUACGGUGCCCAAUGAUGCUCUAACCUAAAACCCACAAAUGGUAUUGGUCGAUUAAGAUAGUAGGACGGUGGCCAUGGAAGUCAAAAUCCACUAAGGAGUGUCUAACAACGCACCUGUCGAAUCAAAUAGCCCUGAAAAUGGAUGGCGCUUAUGGUCGUCACCCACACCCGACAAUUGAGGCAAUUAUCAGGCCCUGAUGUGUAGGGGUGCCGACGGUAGCUACAAAACCUAUGGCAUGAGCCCAAGCGAGGGCUUCCAUGGAUGCAGAUCCAGGUGGUAGUAGCAAAUAUCAAAUUAGAACUUAAAAGGAAAAAUAGGGGAAAGGUUCCAUGUGAACAACACUUGCACAUGGUUUAGUUGAUCCUAAGAGUCGGAUAACCCCGUCAGAGAGAGCAAACUGCAUGAACUUCGAAAGGGAAUCAGGUUAAAAUUCCUGAACAAGGAUGCGACGGCUGACGACAACUUUAGGAAGUCUGGAGUUGUCGGUAGGGGCUUGGGAAGAGUUAUCUUUUCUAUUUAACAGCUUACCAGACCUGGAAAUGGCUCAGCCAACGGUAGGGUCAUGUGUCUGGAAGAGCAUCGCAUGUCACGUUGUGUUCGGUGCCCCCAUGGCGCACCUUAAAAAUUUGGAGGACUAAGUAUCGAUCGUGCCCGAUCAUACUCAUAACCGAAUUAGGUCUCUAAGGUGCACACCUCUGGUCGAUGGAACAAGGUAGGCAAGGGAAGUCAGCAAAAUGGAUCCGUAACCUCGGGAAAAUGAUUCUCUUUGAGGACUGGGCUCGGGGGUUCCUGUAGGUGGACUGCUCGAGUUACUUCCGCGGCGAGAACAGGUCACUGCAUGCCAACUGGGGAAUGGACUUGGAAUGGUUCCUUCAAGGGCUUUUUCGAGCAUUGAACUAUCAACUUGGAACAGGUACAGAUAAGGGGAAUUUGAUUCUUUAAUUAAAACAAAGCAUUGCGAAGGUCUUUACGGAUGUUAAUGCAUUGUGAUUUUUGCCUAGUGCUCUUAAUGUCAAAGUAAAGAAAUUCAGCCAAGCGCGGGUAAACGGUGGGAAUAACUAUGACUCUCUUAAGGUAGCCAAAUGCCUCGUCGUCUAAUUAGUGACACGCACGAAUGGAUUAACGAGAUUCCCACUGUCCCUAUCUACUAUCCAGUGAAACCACAGCCUAGGGAACGUGCUUGGCAGAAUCAACGGGCAAGAAGACCUUGUUGAGUUUGAUUCUAGUUCGACUUUGUGAAAUGACUUGAGAGGUGUAGGAUAACGUUUGCAUCGAAAGCGAUAUACCACUACUUUUAACGUUAUUUUACUUAUUCUGUGAGUCAGAAGUGGGAGUUGCCUUUCUCUUUGGAUCCAAGGGUGGCCCGAUUCGGGCGGAAGACAUUUUUAGGUGGGGAAUUUGGCUGGGCAGCACAUCUGUUAAAAGAUAAUGCAGGUCUUCUAAGAUGAGCUAAACGAGAAAGAAAAUCUCAUGUGGAACAGAAGGGUAAGAGCUUGUUUGAUUCUAAUUACCAGUACGAAUACGAACGUGAAAGUGUGGCCUAUCGAUCCUUUAGAAAAGUAUUGGAUUGUUCGCCCACCAAUAGGGAACGUGAGCUGCGUUUGGGAUAGUGUGAGACUGGUUAUUUUUCCAUACUAAUGAUAGUGUCGUGGUAGUAAUUUAACCUACUAUGAGUGGAACCAUUGAUUCACAUAAUUGGUUAUCGCGUUUGGUUGAAAAGCUAGUGCGCGAAGCUGCCGUGUGCAAGAUUAAGAUUGAGCGCCUCUAAGUAAGAAUCCAGGGUAGAAAAGCGGCGCAUAUGCUCGUCGCCUGAUUGCCAACCUGGAGUAGGGGCCUUUUGGUCCCCAAAGUAAUGUGCCAUUGGUGAAGCUCUAGAUGAGUUGU